UUGACGCCCGAACGUACGCUACUACAACAGUCGACAGCGGACACCCGCUUACGUUUCAGAUGCCAUAAACCGGUCCAACUUAUAAUUUAAAUUAUUGUCGACGAUAAAAAUAAUAAAAAAACUUAAAGUUAUAAAUGAAAACAUUGCCAAAAAUAUAAAUAAGAUAUUAAAUUCAAAGAACAUAAAGUGUACACAGCAGUAAAAAGAAGAAAAAAUAAUGUUAUGACAAAGAAAGCCGCAAAAGUUUUGGUGUUUGGUGUAGUGUAUAAAGUGAUAUAAUAACUAAAAAGUGUUGAAGACUGGAAUAAUUUUAAAUGAAGAAAAAUAUCAACUUGGAGAAUAGAAGCUUAGAUGCCACCAGUUUAUAAGGAUUGAUCCACCCAUACCACAGUCGCAAUAUCCAAUGGAGAAUAAGAAAUCAGUACCUGCAACGCAGCAACCGCUUGCUCAACAACAUCUGAUGGCGCAUCAUGUCCACCCAGAUCAGAUAUACUCACCGCAACAAACUCAGCUAGCUACGCACCUUACAUCAGCGCAAACUGGCCAAAUUCAACCAAAUGGCGUCAUGCAUCAACUGUUACAAAGUCAAUAUCAUUCAAAUAUAAAUGCCCGGUCUCCACUCCUAGAAAAUCGACAUGAGUUGUAUGGCACUGGCCACAAUCAAGACUACACGAGACACUAUGGUGCAAAUGAUAACUAUAACUAUCCUCAAUCACCACCUAGACAAGAAAGAACUGACGUGCACACGGAUCAUAAUGUAAAUCAUGAAUUAUUACAGAAUAUUCCUAAAGGUUACAAUCCAGAAGUUUAUCAGGACUAUUUGAAACGCAACCCACCGAAAGAUGCCAAUCAAAUAUACCAAAACCAUCAACCAAUGUAUAGACCAAAUGCAAAUACAAAUAUAUAUGGUUCAAAACCUUAUCUCCCAUAUUCAAAUAGAAUAGGGCCACAGAGUAAUACCGAGAUGUUACGGCGACAAUAUAAUGAACUUCAACAAAUGAAACUUCAGCAACAAAUGCAUUACCAAAAUCAGGCCCAGAUGCAUCAGCAGCAAAAGUUCGCGGAAAGGCAACUUUUGCUUCAGCAAAUACAUGGUGUUCAACCGCCGCCUAAUUUACAGAAUAGUAUAUACUCGGACGGUUCUUAUAGGGAUUUAGAUCGAUAUAGUAGUAAAAAUGACUUUAAAGACUAUAGCAGUCCUGAUAUCCAAAAAGAUAUUGAAAUGUAUACGAGAAAUGAAAUGGAAAAGCAAUCCCGACAUUAUCAAGAAUCUCAAUGGCAAGCGAAUCAACCCCUCGAAUAUAGGGAGUCUGAUCGGCAUAGGCUGCAAUCUGAGAGUGAUAAGGGGAAAACCCAAUCACCGCCUUCAGAAUAUAACAAUCACAAUGAGAAAAACAAUGCGGGCUUUGUAUCUCCUAUGAAGUCGAGUGAGUCUAGUACACCUAGUGUAAAAUCUCCAUCUUCAGAAAGUAGACGGAGUAGUGGUGGCAAUCAAGCUUUAAGAUCACCUAUAGCGCAAAGGAUUCCGUCGGCCCCAGUGACCAUGUGGGGUAUAUUGUACAAACAAGGCUCAGAUGGUCUAAAAGUUUGGCGAAAGAGAUGGUUCGUUUUGUCAGAGUAUUGUUUAUUCUAUUACAAAAGUCAAGACGAGGAAAAGCUUUUGGGAUCAGUUCUAUUACCAUCGUACAAAGUAUCUGCAUGUACUUCGGAAGACAAAGUUCUCAGGAAGUUUUCAUUCAAGUUGGAGCAUGCGAAUAUGCGGACUUAUGUUCUUGCGGCUCCAGAUCAGGAGUCUAUGCUGAAAUGGGUCAAGGCUCUCACGAUGGCCGCCCUGAUGCAAAGCUCAAACGAACAACCACAAAAGCAGAGCGACCGGCCACCUGCGAAAACAGAGGACAGCGAUGAAGUGCCUGGACCAACAUAUGCUAAUGCUCCGCCUAAACCACGACGGUCGAAUGAAGGAUAUAACUCACCAAGCCCUGAUAUGUAUGAUCCAAAUUACGACAUAUUAAAAAAGCCAGCAUCACACUACAGUCAAGGCACUAGUCACACUCGUUAUCAAGAUCACACAAACUAUCCUAGCAGUCCAAACCAAGAGAGUACAUACACUCGUAGCCCGCCAUCAGCUCAGCCAACUCAAUUUCAGACUAAACGACCAUACGACACCCAUCACCUAUCUCUGCCAUUGACUAAUACAGUAACUGAUAGAUUAGAAACCAACCAACCAAGUACGUCAUCAAUGUACAAAUCUAAUCCUCAGUCGCCUUACUUUAAUGAUAGGAUAAGAAGUCAACAACAGCAAGAGAUAUCGCAGGACAAAGUGCAAGAAAAGCUCUACGAUACGCAACGACAGAUUGGUCACCAUAAUCCUUUUCUUCAAGAUAAUACUCCACAAAUGGAGGACAUAUCACAAGAACAACAAAGUAAAAGUAAUCAAAAGUCGGGAAAAGAUGCGGCUCAGAUAAGUUAUCACGAAAGUUAUUUGGAUUCACGAUCAAAUUCCAAACCUAAUUUGGAUGGCAGCAAUCUUUAUAACAUUUACGGCGAAAUGACAAGGCAGAACAGAGGAGCGAGUGCUAUGAACGAACGGUUGUUGAUUGACAGGCGAACGCCAGAAGCAUAUGGCCGUGCUCACACAAUGGCUCCUUACACUAAAGGCAAAGUCGGAGACUACGAAGAUGUAUAUGGAAUGUAUGCCGCUGAAAAUGAUUACGGAAAGACUUAUUUGAAGUCACCUCCACAAGCAUCUCGAACACGUGACGCUGGUAAUAUUAUUUCUAGUCAUCAACAUCAACAACAACAGCAGCAGCAACAACAGCAACAACAACAGGAACAUGGAGGCCAUUAUCACCAAGAAAAGACUUUCAGUGGUCCGUCAGUACUGCGAAGAAAAAAGAUGCAAUCUAGCGGUAUUCAGCCGCCCAUUCCAAGACCUCAUAGUGCAGAUUUUCUUGAGUAUGAAUCAAAAAAAGAAAUGUCGAAUAAAAUGCCAGCGAGAACUACUGGCGAUUCCAAACAACCACAGCGACCAAAAUCGAGUCUUGAUAUCAAUUCUUAUUACGAUCCAAGUUCUGACAGAUACUACUCAGAAGAAAGUUAUGCGGAGAAAAUGAGACAAUCAGCUCAAUAUUUACACCAACAAGCAUUAGGCCCUAAAAAUAUUCAAAUACCGUUGGCUAAGUAUGCAAGUGGUUUAGCAGAAAAGCAACUUAAUUCUCCUUACUCUCAGAUCGCAAACAAUAAUUAUGAGACUGAAUUCACCCCGAAGAAAAUAGCACGUGAUACUGUUAGUUGUAAUUCUAAAUAUGAUUUAGAAGGUUUGAAUUCUAAUUGGACAUUAAAAGAAAAAGAAAAUCAAAAAGAAAUUUUAAACAGAAGUGGAAGCGUAAUGAGCGAUGGUUCUAAUGUUAGUUUUAUGAAAGAAAAUAUGAGUAGAUUUGAUCCAUCAUCUGAAGGAUUUAUGAGAUCCGCAAGUGCUAGAUUACCAUCAACAUCAAUUGAAAAGGAAGGUGACAAGAAAGUACAACAGAGAGAAGAGUCAAUGAAGCGCUUACUUGAAUGGAAACAAAGAAUGCUUCAAUCACCAUUGACAAGGAAAAGCACGCCUGCUACAAUAUCACUAGCGCGGUCUUUAAACCAAAGCCGGCAAUCAUUGAAAUCAGACCAGUUUAAAUCUAAAAAUUACCCAAACGCAACGUAUAACAGCUACUCUUCUGAUGAUGAAGCUUCUAUGACAAUAUCAGGCGCACACAUGGACUCAGGCUCAAAUAAUAUUUCAUCAAAUCAGCAAGUACUAUUAAAAAAGGCUUUUCUCGGAAGUAACACGUCUAUCGGAAGAAAUACCAGAGAUGCCAAUAUACCAGUACGUGCCGUUAGCCCUAGGGUAAGAUGGGUCGAAGAUAAAGUAAAUAAUGAUCACUACGGAUCACAACAAAUGUCAAAUUCUCAACAAAAUAUACAUGCACUCAGCGCAACAGAAGACGUUUGGGCAAUGACUCGGUCACCAUCUAGAGCUUCUCAACAACCUAUUCGAGCUGUCAGUCCAAGGGUUCGAAGAAACACAGAAACUGAAGAUUUGCAAAGAAAUCAGCGAACGGGUCAGUCUGACCAGUUGGGCGAAGUUCCGACUGCUGGAGAGCUUCUGGGUCGCACUCACGAGGAAUUGGUACUUCUACUGAUACAGUUGAGGCGCAGGCAUGCGGCGACGCAUCGUGCUAUACAACAUUGCUGCGCACAAAUCAGUAGCACGGAGGAAUCCCUCAGCUCGUUAAAAGCUAUAGAACGUGAAGAGAGCUUGCAGCGGUUGGAGCAACUCAAGAUGCAGUUGAUGGAGCUAGAACAUCAGUAUGAGAAGAGUAAGCCACUAGUGCAACUGGUUGAUAAUAUGGUCAAAUUGGGGUCGUUGUACAACAGGCCCGGUUCUACUGUAGAGCGUCUAGAAAGGAACCAGAGAUUAAGGCAAAAGGUCCUCGCGGAACAUGCGAUGGAACAGCAGAGGUGGCUUGAAAGUGCUGCAGCCGGAAAACCUUUGGAGACAGAGGCUGCGAGAUCAAGAGUUGCCGAGUUGUGGGCUUUGGAACAAGAAUUGGCUGAUGAAGCUGCCAUAUUACAGGGUUUGAAGACCGAUAAAGAUACUCUAGAGUCCUUGCUUACCGGUGUUCGAGGCAAGUUACACAGCGUACCUCGCGCAGAUAUAACUCGUGGCAGUAUAAGCAAUGUAAUGGCAAGCGCAGGCAGUGUGGGGGGAGUGGGGGGCGCCGGACUCGAGGCGGAGUUGGCGCGUGUGCACGCCAUGCUCGCACACAAUUCUAAGGUUUAUAAGAAACUGGAACAAACGGUGGCAGACAACGCUCGCUUGGAGCGGGAAUUACAGCAGUUACGUCGCGCACUACAAGCGAGGCGCGCGGCCGUGCCUGCACAUCCUACUACUAUGCUUGAAGAUGAGGUAACGAGAGUUCAACAGCUAGUUUCGGCUCUGCAGCGACAACGACAGGAGCUGAGCAGAGCUGUGAGGCACCUCACACAACAGUCACAGGCUUUGCAGACUACCCACGAUUCUAUGCCAGGUAAACGUCGCCCCACAUCAUGCUGGCAAGAAACUAACCUCGACACUGGCCAUACGAUCGACCACGGUCAAGCCGACUACGAGUACGAGAUCAACGGGCUCCUGCCUCCAGGACACUACGAGCCGAAUAACAUGGAGACACCUUUAUAUGUGGACACGAGACCCUCGGCGCCCGAUUUGACGUCUCCGUUGUCAAGUGAAGACAUACAGAAUGGAGGAUUUGCUAACUUAUCGAACGUAGAAAAACAAGAAAUCAAAACUGUCAGGAUUGUUAAAAGAGAGAGUGAAAGGCGACAACGAGAUAGGGAGCGCUCACUACAGCCAAUGUCUGAUUGGUCUUCCAACAAAGUUACCGCCAACCUCGAUCAGUUCAUAGAGGAAGAACUAGUUCAAUCUCUAAACUAUACCAGAGCUUCGUCAGUGCCUCGGACCGACUUCAGCAAAUUCGAAGAAUACUAUGAAAAACCACAAGAACCUCCGAAUUACCCUCGCAUUAGUGAUAAAAACAUGGAACUUAGUCCAAAAUAUCCAUCAAGCCCUUCACUAUCUAAUUACGAUUACUCUCGAGACAUAUCGUCGCUAAGCAGCAGUUACCAUAAGAGUUACGAUAGGUCUGGUUAUGAUCGAACCAUUUCAAUUUCUACUCAAUAUCUGAACAGCCCUACAGAUAGUUCUAGGACUUUAACCAACGAUCCUCUGUCGAAGACCAGUAGCAUUGUAAGUUUGAAUAAAUCUCACAUGGAAUUAUCACCAAUAUUCAAGAGUGAGGCGGCCAAACAGAUCAUAACAGAGAUGUCUGGAGAACCGAAGAAUGGAUCUCUACAUAGAAGGCAAGUUCCUAAGGAAAAGAGAAGGCAUUAUACAGCGCCGCAUCAUCUUAGCGCCAAGACAUUGAAUGAAAUACCAAAAGAUGGAUAUAAUCAAGACAAAAUGGGUCGUUCCCUGGACGACGCGGACAUGGAGCUGGCGCUGCGCGGGCCGGCGCCGGCGCCCGACGUGGUGCGCUCGGCGCUGCCGCCGCGCCGCCUCGCCGACUCCACCAUCGACCAGCUGCUCGCCGCGCCGCAGAAGAUACUGAUACCGGAGCGGUAUAUACCGGAGAAGCCUCCAGAACUUUCACCCGAAGAGCAGCAAAAACGCCAAGAGAAAGUAGAAUCUAUCAAAAAAAUGCUGUCCAGUUCUUCUGCCGAUCCUAAUAAGAGUCCUGACGGGGAAGAGAAGAGGCAGCGGGAACAUUUGCUCCAGAUGAACCAGAUAUUGGCCAAGCAGGUCACCGAGAUGAGCAAAAUCAUAGCCGGAACGAAUACCGAUCAAGGGCCGUCCACAGCGAACUGAUCCACACACAUAAUCAUUUUUAUAACACACACAGCACAGAAAACCCCAAUCAUAUCAGCUCACACCUUAUAUAGCUACACGUUAACAGCUAGAUUUGUCCGUACUUACUAAAGUAUUGGAAGGCCCUUAGAAGAUUCCACAGUCCAGUCUGUUGCAGCAUGGUUUCGUUUUGUUGCAUUAUGUUUAAAAGCGUUAGAAGAGCUGCCACAACGAGACGGGAACGAUGAAUUUGACGACCGUUCACCCGACGUCGAACUACCUAUCUACCAGCAAAGAGACAACUUUUUCACCUAAACUAUAACGACUUAAGUCAUUUACACCUUGGUUGAGAAUAAUGACGAGUUCAUUGACAUCAAUAUCAAAUGUCCCAUCAGCUGUGGCUUACUGAACUAAUUCUGACAAAUUUGUAUCUGAUAUUGACGAAUAAACAUUAUCUAAAUAAUGUGUUUAUACACUGUGGGCUUUAAUAUAUUGUAAGUUGUGUAGUUCAAUUAUACUGUACCUAUAUCUAAUUUUGUAAUAGAAAUGUUUAUAGUCAAUGGUUUUAUUAAUGACUGUACUAGUUGUUAUGUAUUAUUAUAUUUAAGUACUUUCUUGAUCAUCUAAAUAAGGCUAUUUAAUGCUUUAUUAAUACUUGGCUAUGUAAGCUAACUAUUCAAUCAUUUAUAACGAAAUCUAAUGGAGCAAAUUCGGGUAUUGUGUGAUAAACCUUUGUUUAAUCAUGAAUUUUGUUAAUAUCUUAAUAAUAUACGUUCUCUUAUUAAAAUAUAGGUACUAUGUUAACAUAAUAACUUUGAACCCAUAGAAAUAAAUUUCGGAACAUCCAACACUAAAAAUGUAAGACGGCGAAUUAUAUUUCGUGGAAUAUUGAUAUUUUAUGACAUUAACAGUUUACCUAUAUGAUUGAUUGUUUUGUAAUUGUGAAAUGCACCAUAGUUUUGGUUAUAGUUUUCGUUAAAAUUUACUUUAGGUAACAGUUUCGUGACCAAAAGUAUCUAUGAAAUAUUGCAAUUAGACCACAAAAUGGCCUAAAAUUGCGUACGUGUAAUGUUAAUAUAGUACUUUGUCAAAAAAAAGUAUCCUCUAAAUUUAUCGUAUCGCUUAGUGCCUGAACGAAACUUUGAACUAUUAAAAAAGACUUCGCUUUGCACAUAUCCAAUGAAUCUCAUAUCCAUAGAGAAUACCUAUGAACGCUUAGCAAUAGAUAAUAAUUUUUUAAAUUUGCUCAAUAUUAUGACAUUCCUUCAGUAGUUGUUUUAUAACGAUAUUAUGUAGGGUUCAUUAUAAUUAGCGAGUUCUCUUAUGACUUAAAAUAUCAUUUACGCCAGUUUUAUACUAAAUGAUUUUAUAAUUCUUAAACUAUGUAUUUAUGAAGUCUUCUAUGUAAAGGGCCUUGAAUUGUUAUCGUAGAAAUAAGGUUAAAUCGUAGUUAGGUUAAUUUUUAAUACGAUGCCAUGUUACUCAAUUAAACUAAUACUAACCCAUCACUAGUAAAAGCACACAAUAUUAAGAUUUUUAAUUACUUAUAUAAGUUAAACGAAUGACAAUGCGUUUUAGUAUUAUUUUGUUUUUAUUUUAUUUCUGUUUUAUUUUUGUAAAUAACAUGUAAUUUAAUUCAAUAAAUUUUAAUUUUUAUUGUUACUCGUA